rnacentral:rRNA from 1 species
GAUGAACGCUGACAGAAUGCUUAACACAUGCAAGUCUUUGGCGAAGCUGUGCUUGCACAGCCUAGCCAAGGCGGACGGGUGAGUAACGCGUAAGGAACUUGCCCUGCAGUCAGGGAUAACAGACGGAAACGACUGAUAAGACCUGGUAAAGUCAGGCGGACUCAUGUCCAGCCUGAUGAAAAGAGAUGCUGCAGGAGAGCCUUGCGUCCUAUUAGCUUGUUGGUGGGGUAACGGCCCACCAAGGCGAUGAUAGGUAGCCGGCCUGAGAGGGUGGACGGCCACAAGGGGACUGAGAUACGGCCCUUACUCCUACGGGAGGCAGCAGUGGGGAAUAGUGGACAAUGGGGGCAACCCUGAUCCAGCAAUUCUGUGUGGACGAUGAAGGUUUUCGGAGUGUAAAGUGCUUUCAGCAGGGAAGAAAAAAAUGACGGUACCUGCAGAAGAAGCGACGGCUAAAUACGUG